rnacentral:rRNA from 1 species
AUUGAACGCUGGCGGCGUGCUUAACACAUGCAAGUCGAGCGGUAACAGGCGUAGCAAUACGUGCUGACGAGCGGCGAACGGGUGCGUAAUACAUCGGAAUCUGCCUCGUAGUGGGGAAUAACCCGGCGAAAGCCGGGCUAAUGCCGCAUACGAUCCACGGAUGAAAGCGGGGACGUUCGGCCGUCGCGCUAUGAGAUGAGCCGAUGUCGG